UGAUGAAUAUUGAACUUUUGACAGAUUGUGGUUCUGGCAUUGAAAGAAUCACAAAAGAUCUUCUCAUAAUACUUCAUUGAGAUGAUGAAGCAGAGGCAUAAGAUCGAGAGGGAACAGAACAUUGGGAUGAAGCAGAGGCAUAAGAUCGAGAGGGAACAGAACAUUGGGGAAGAAGUUGGAUGGUCCAAAAAUGUGAAAGUUGCAAAGGGGAUUGCUAGCAAGUAAAAAAUGCAUGAUAGGAGAUUUGGAGUUCACUAGAAAACUC